UNCGGAAUCUUCCGCCAUGGGCGAAAGCCUGACGGAGCAACGCCGCGUGAGUGAUGAAGGUCUUCGGAUCGUAAAACUCUGUUAUCAGGGAAGAACAUAUGUGUAAGUAACUGUGCACAUCUUGACGGUACCUAAUCAGAGAGCCACGGCUAACUACGUGCCAGCAGCCGCGGUAAUACGUAGGUGGCAAGCGUUNUCCGGAAUUAUUGGGCGUAAAGCGCGCGUAGGCGGUUUUUUAAGUCUGAUGUGAAAGCCCACGGCUCAACCGUGGAGGGUCAUUGGAAACUGGAAAACUUGAGUGCAGAAGAGGAAAGUGGAAUUCCAUGUGUAGCGGUGAAAUGCGCAGAGAUAUGGAGGAACACCAGUGGCGAAGGCGACUUUCUGGUCUGUAACUGACGCUGAUGUGCGAAAGCGUGGGGAUCAAACAGGAUUAGAUACCCUGGUAGUCCACGCCGUAAACGAUGAGUGCUAUGUGUUAGGGGGUUUCCGCCCCUUANUGCUGCAGCAAACGCAUUAAGCACUCCGCCUGGGGAGUACGACCGCAAGGUUG
rnacentral:rRNA from 1 species